GAUGAAGAACGCAGCGAAAUGCGAUAAGUAAUGUGAAUUGCAGAAUUCAGUGAAUCAUCGAAACUUUGAACGCACAUUGCGCCCGCCAGUAUUCUGGCGGGCAUGCCUGUUCGAGCGUCAUUACAACCCUCAGGCCCCCGGGCCUGGCGUUGGGGAUCGGCGGAGCCCCCCGUGGGCACACGCCGUCCCCCAAAUGCAGUGGCGGUCCCGCCGCAGCUUCCAUCGCGUAGUAGCUAACACCUCGCGACUGGAGAGCGGCGCGGCCACGCCGUAAAACACCCAACUCUUCUGAAGUUGACCUCGAAUCAGGUAGGAAUACCCGCUGAACUUAAGCAUAUCAAUAAGCGGAGGA
rnacentral:misc_RNA from 1 species